AGGGAGCGAGCCGCCGCGGCCCCCCGCUUUGGCCUGCGGCCGCCCGAGCCCUGGGGUCGCGAGCGCGGCCCCGCCCCCGGUGGGCGCCCGAGAGCGCAGGUGUGUGGCCGGCGGCCGCGCGCACCUCUGCAGCCCGGCUCGGCGCGCCCCCCGGGGCUGCUGGGGCAGUGCCGGCCGCGGAAGGAGCUGCGCGGAGGACCUGGUGCCGGGAGCCGGGCGGGGGACGCUGCUCGUGGGGGCGCUUUCCCCCUGAAAUUCACCUUUAUCGAGGCUGGAGAAAGGGGCGUGUGCGUCGGGGUCCCCGAAAGAUAUGAAGUGCAGAGACUCCCAUUCACGGCUCUCCAUUCUGUUUCCUGCAACAGCACACACUCUGAUGGUUAGAAAGCAGGAUGAGACCAAUGUGCUUCCUACUGAUGUAUUUAAUAGUGAAGGAGAGAGAGACUCAGUAGUGUGUAUGCUAUUGAAUCAAACAGAAGUGAAGGCCAGUGAUUGUGUGAGAAUCUGGAUUUCAAAUCUGCAAAAGGAAGGUGUAAAAGAGACCAUGAAACGUAUGGUGCAAUAGCUCUACUUUUGGUGGGAAAAAUAUACAGCCAUUCUGGUGAAGCAGUUUGGGCCCCAUGGGAUCCCUGUGACAGUGUUUCCCAAAAGGGAAUAUAAGGAUAAACCUGAAGCCAUGCAGCUCCAAAGUAAUACAUUCCAAGAAGGGACAGGAGUCAAGUGUGAAGUGAAUGGUGCUGUUCCCGAUGACCCUUCUCCCAUCUCGCCUCCCGAGCCAGGCUUGGCUGAAAGCCUAUGGACUUCCAAACCGCCACCUCUCUUCCAUGAAGGAGCACCUUACCCUCCCCCUUUGUUUAUCAGGGACACCUAUAACCAGUCAAUACCUCAGCCACCGCCUCGGAAAAUUAAGCGACCCAAACGAAAAAUGUACAGGGAAGAACCUACUUCAAUAAUGAAUGCUAUUAAACUGCGACCCAGGCAAGUCCUGUGUGACAAAUGUAAAAACAGUGUUGUUGCAGAGAAAAAAGAAAUUAGAAAAGGUAGUAGUGCAAGUGACUCUUCUAAAUAUGAAGAUAAAAAACGGAAAAAUGAAAGUGUAACUACUGUGAACAAAAAACUGAAAACUGACCAUAAAGUGGAUGGGAAAAACCAAAAUGAAAGCCAGAAAAGAAAUGCUGUGGUUAAGGUUUCCAAUAUUGCUCACAGCAGAGGCAGAGUAGUCAAAGUUUCUGCUCAGGCAAAUACAUCA
rnacentral:lncRNA from 12 species